rnacentral:rRNA from 1 species
CGUGUAGGCGGCCAGGUAGGUCCGUUGUGAAAACUGGAGGCUUAACCUCCAGCCGUCGACGGAAACCAUCUGGCUAGAGUCCGGAAGAGGAGAGUGGAAUUCCUGGUGUAGCGGUGAGAUGCGCAGAUAUCAGGAAGAACACCCGUGGCGAAGGCGGCUCUCUGGGACGGUACUGACGCUGAGACGCGAAAGCGUGGGGAGCGAACA